rnacentral:rRNA from 1 species
GACGAACGCUGGCGGCAUGCCUAAUACAUGCAAGUUGAACGAUGAUAUUCUCUGCUUGCAGAGACUUGAAGAGUAGCGCACGGGUGAGUAACACGUGGGGAACCUGCCCAUGAGAGGGGGAUAACAUUCGGAAACGGAUGCUAAUACCGCAUAAUGCUUUGGACCGCCUGGUCCAGAGACGAAAGACGGCUUUUGCUGUCACUCAUGGAUGGCCCCGCGCCGUAUUAGCUAGUUGGUGAGGUAAUGGCUUACCAAAGCUGUGAUACGUAGCCGACCUGAGAGGGUGGUCGGCCACACUGGGACUGAGACACGGCCCAGACUCCUACGGGAGGCAGCAGUAGGGAAUCUUCCACAAUGGGCGAAAGCCUGAUGGAGCAAUGCCGCGUGAAUGAAGAAGGUCUUCGGAUCGUAAAGUUCUGUUAUUAGAGAAGAACAAGUCAAGGAGUAACUGUCUUGACUUUGACGGUACCUAACCAGAAAGUCACGGCUAACUACGUG